rnacentral:rRNA from 1 species
GAUUAACGCUGGCGGCGUGCAUAACACAUGCAAGUCGAACGAUGAAACUUAGUAGACUUCUUCGGAAAGACACUAAGCGGAUUAGUGGCGAACGGGUGAGUAACGCGUGAGUAACCUGCCUUACACAAGGGGAUAGCCUUUGGAAACGAAGAAUAAUACCCUAUAAAACUAUACAAGCACAUGCUAUAAUGGUCAAAGUGAUAGCGGUGUAAGAUGGACUUGCGUCUGAUUAGCUAGUUGGUGAGAUAAAAGCUCACCAAGGCAACGAUCAGUAGCCGGCUUGAGAGAGUGUACGGCCACAUUGGGACUGAGACACGGCCCAGACUCCUACGGGAGGCAGCAGUGGGGAAUUUUGCACAAUGGGGGAAACCCUGAUGCAGCGACGCCGCGUGAUUUAGAAGGCCUUCGGGUUGUAAAAAUCUUUUGUAUAGGAAGAAAAUGACAGUACUAUACGAAUAAGGUCCGGCUAAUUACGUG